GGCCUACCAAGACUAUGAUGUGUAGCCGGGCUGAGAGGUUGAACGGCCACAUUGGGACUGAGACACGGCCCAAACUCCUACGGGAGGCAGCAGUAGGGAAUUUUCGGCAAUGGAGGAAACUCUGACCGAGCAACGCCGCGUGAACGAUGAAGUAUUUCGGUACGUAAAGUUCUUUUAUUAGGGAAGAAUAAAUGAUGGAAAAAUCAUUCUGACGGUACCUAAUGAAUAAGCCCCGGCUAACUAUGUGCCAGCAGUCGCGGUAAUACAUAGGGGGCAAGCGUUAUCCGGAAUUAUUGGGCGUAAAGGGUGCGUAGGCGGUUAAAUAAGUUUAUGGUCUAAGUGCAAUGCUCAACAUUGUGAUGCUAUAAAAACUGUUUAGCUAGAGUAAGAUAGAGGCAAGUGGAAUUCCAUGUGUAGUGGUAAAAUGCGUAAAUAUAUGGAGGAACACCAGUAGCGAAGGCGGCUUGCUGGGUCUUUACUGACGCUGAGGCACGAAAGCGUGGGGAGCAAACAGGAUUAGAUACCCUGGUAGUCCACGCCGUAAACGAUGAGUACUAAACGUUGGGUAAAACCAGUGUUGAAGUUAACACAUUAAGUACUCCGCCUGAGUAGUACGUACGCAAGUAUGAAACUUAAAGGAAUUGACGGGACUCCGCACAAGCGGUGGAUCAUGUUGUUUAAUUCGAAGGUACCCGAAAAACCUCACCAGGUCUUGACAUGCUUCUGCAAAGCUGUAGAAACACAGUGGAGGUUAUCAGUUGCACAGGUGGUGCAUGGUUGUCGUCAGCUCGUGUCGUGAGAUGUUGGGUUAAGUCCCGCAACGAGCGCAACCCUUAUUGUUAGUUACCAGCACGUAAUGGUGGGGACUUUAGCAAGACUGCCAGUGAUAAAUUGGAGGAAGGUGGGGACGACGUCAAAUCAUCAUGCCCCUUAUGACCUGGGCUACAAACGUGAUACAAUGGC
rnacentral:rRNA from 1 species